GUUAAUAGACAGACCAUUUGAGAACAAACAAACAAGCGCAAGGGUUUCUUCCUCAGAGGGCUGUGGAUUUUAAUCCCGAAAAAGCAUCAUGUUUACUACAGCAGUGAAGGCAUUACAGCCCAGAUUUCGACCAGAGCAAAGUCAAACCAUCACAAGGGCUUUAUUUGAAAUCGUACAGGAACAUGGUCCUCUUAGUGUUGCUCAAGCAUGGGAACGCGUUCAGCAAGUUGGUGUAAAAGAUUUAACAAGCAAAACACAGAUGAAGACCGUAUUGAGAUGGAUGAAGGAGAGGCAGAAACUUAAGCAAAUAUGCAACCAUGUCGGUCCCAACAAGCAGUUCCUGUACACCACCUGGUUCACCAAACCGCCCACUGUGACCCAGCCGAGAUCUGGUGUGGUCAAGUCUUCCUAGCCCAAGGCAAUUUUGAUUAUGCAGAACAGUUUUAGACAUCGUUUUUUUGCAUAAUAAGGGGACCCGGGGCGGUCUCCUUUUGUUCCGUGAUAAACCUUUUCAACGCGUUAUACAAUAACAAUUCCCACCCCGCAUGCUUGCUAUAACGCGUUUUAAGUUAACGAAAUCAGAAUUUCGUGAUAUUUUCAACGCGUGAUGGUUGUUUUUUGUGAGUGUAAUUGUUGGUUGGGGGGAAAUUGUUGGGUGUGGUGGUGAGUGAUGACCACCCCGACUAAAAAAGGUUGUGAGUGAUGAAAAAAUGGUUGAUGACAUGGCGGAACUUGAUUGGUGUUUGUGAGUGAUAGUUUCUAUCACUAGUGAACCACCCCCCCUCCCCUAAGCAUGUGUACGGAUCCUUGUUUUGCAGUUUUUUUAUCAACGAACUAUGGUUGCGAUUUGCGAUAUAUAACGUGAUUGUUAUAGUAAAAAAACAAUUUAAACCUAAA